CCUGAGGCCUUGCGCCUCCUGAAGGGCCCUUGAAGACUACAAGGUUGAUAGGCUGGGUGUGGAAGCACAGCAAUGUGUUGAGCUAACCAGUACUAAUUGCCCGUGAGGCUUGACCAUAUAACACCAAGGGGUUUG
rnacentral:rRNA from 1 species